rnacentral:rRNA from 1 species
UACGAAGGGGGCUAGCGUUGUUCGGAAUCAUUGGGCGUAAAGCGCACGUAGGCGGAUCUUUAAGUCAGGGGUGAAAUCCCGAGGCUCAACCUCGGAACUGCCUUUGAUACUGGGGAUCUCGAGUCCGGGAGAGGUGAGUGGAACUGCGAGUGUAGAGGUGAAAUUCGUAGAUAUUCGCAAGAACACCAGUGGCGAAGGCGGCUCACUGGCCCGGAACUGACGCUGAGGUGCGAAAGCGUGGGGAGCAAACAGG